UCAUUGCAGUUUGCCCUUUAAAAUUUCGCACCAGAACCCAAAAAGAAAAAAACAAAAACAGAGAACACUCUAGCCCUAAUUCCAGCCAAACGUCUACUAUGUCUGCAAUUCACGGUCAUUUCUCUCACCCCGCCGACCUACGAUCGUCGUCACCACCGCUUUGGCAAGACCGCAAGUAUGUUAUACACUACAUUUAGCUUUAAGACGCUAAGGGAGGAAUAGUUGCAUGGCCUGCCAAGUUUGUUAGAAGAACUUAGUCGUACUUGUUUUCAGAGCUGAGAGCUUAGAGGAAAGUUGCAGUUGUAUGAUUGUCUCGAUGUAUCGACAGAAGUUUUCAACCUCAACUUACUUUCUAGCAUUUGUCAAAUAUAAUCUGAUUCUCUUCUGCCUGUAUCUUUCUGAGAACCAAAAUUUGAAUUGGAAAUUGGGUUUACCUGAGCUGCUGGAUAAACUUCAGGGACGGCGACCGUGGCCGGAAAAGAUGAAGAUGCGCCUACAUCAAGCAUGGGUUUUGUAUCAAUGGGGGAUAAAUAGAGGGUGAGUCAACCGUGUACUGCAGUUUUGCUUCAGCUUCGGCAAAGAGAUUUUUGUGACAGUAGGAGAGGUCUUCAACUAGCUCUUGGCUAACUCGGAGCAUAGGUCAGAAAUUGUUUUCCUCAGUUCUUUCCUCAUCUCCUCUGCUCUUCCCAAUUUUUCUUGAGCCCAUUCAAGUUUUUCAGUUAGAGCAUCUCCAAUGUAAAAUGCUAUAUUUCCAUGCCAAAUCGAUAUUUUGAGAGGUGCUACAGUGUCAAAAUUCUACAUUUUUGCAAUUAUGCUCCAGUCAUUUCAUUCAAAAUGCUAUUUUUUGACACAAUUAUCAUUCCAUGUUUUGAGAGCCCAUUGGAGUGCCUUAUUUUCAUUCUAGCAACUUUUGACAAUCUCAAGAUAUGAGAGGUCUUUUGAGAGAGCUCAUUGGUGUGCCUAUUUUCAUCCACUUACUAUAUUUUGGAUCAAUUUGGUCAAUAUAAGUUAACACAAAAAAAGAAUCAUGGAAAGAAAAUUAAAACAAAGAAAAAUGACUAUCUGUCAAGGUUGCUCAGAUGGA